rnacentral:rRNA from 1 species
AAUAGAUACCCUGGUAGUCCACGCCGUAAACGAUGAGUGCUAGGUGUUGGGGGUCAUACCUCGGUGCCGCAGUUAACGCAUUAAGCACUCCGCCUGGGGAGUACGUACGCAAGUAUGAAACUCAAAGGAAUUGACGGGGACCCGCACAAGCAGCGGAGCAUGUGGUUUAAUUCGAAGCAACGCGAAGAACCUUACCUGGACUUGACAUCCCUUAGACCGCUUCUUAACCGAAGCUUUCCCUUCGGGGACUGAGGUGACAGGUGGUGCAUGGUUGUCGUCAGCUUGUGUCGUGAGAUGUUGGGUUAAGUCCCGCAACGAGCGCAACCCUUGUCUUUAGUUGCCAGCAUUAAGUUGGGCACUCUAGAGAGACUGCCGGGGAUAACUCGGAGGAAGGUGGGGAUGACGUCAAAUCAUCAUGCCCCUUAUGUUCAGGGCUACACACGUGCUACAAUGGCCGAUACAACGGGCAGCCAAGGAGUAAUCCGGAGCGAAUCCUUUAAAAUCGGUCCCAGUUCGGAUUGUGGGCUGAAACUCGCCCACA